rnacentral:rRNA from 1 species
UACGUAGGGGGCGAGCGUUGUCCGAAGUUACUGGGCGUAAAGCGCGCGUAGGCGGCUCUUUAAGUCCGGCGUGAAAGGUUCAGGGCUCAACCCGAACAGUGCGCUGGAGACUGGGGAGCUUGAGGACGGGAGAGGGAAGCGGAAUUCCGGGUGUAGCGGUGAAAUGCGUAGAUAUCCGGAGGAACACCGAUGGCGAAGGCGGCUUCCUGGCCCGUAUCUGACGCUGAGGUGCGAAAGCGUGGGGAGCGAACGGG